ACUAGUGGGGUUUAUUUUUUUUUUACGUUGACUUUAAGAUAAAAGAACAGAUAUAAAGUCAAUGGGAUCUGAAGGGAAGUAUGUAGUUUUUGACUUCAAGGAACAGAACAUGAGUUGUUUUAAGAACUAGACUUCACCAAGGGGGUGGGGGGAGAGUAACUACGUGAAGCCACCAUGUGGAAUAGAUACUUCCCAGGUCUGUGUGUGUAUGUUAUUUUGUGUCAGUUUAUUUCCUUUAUUAGUUAUUAACUUUUCAGGAUAUGUUUAUUCAAGGCCUCAUGUUUUUUUGUUCACACUCUUGGCCAGGGAUUUUCCCUUCUACUCAUGGGGUUUGGGGGGAAGGGUGGAGGGAAGAAGAAAAAUGAAGACAGCAGCAUUGGGUUAGUUAUAAUUGGGUCCAUUAUAACAUCAGCUUUCCCUAGUAUUUUUUUCCCUUGCCCACUAAAUCUGUAAAGCCCUGAAACUUAGAGGUGUCAACACACAUAAACACACACAUACACAAACAACAACAACAACAAUAAUGAACAGGGAUAAAGGUAUCCCAAAGAGGUGUUGGAGUAUGUAUGAGAGAAAAAUGGAAAUGCUGCCAAUCUUCACAGGAUUCUUAAAAGAGCAAGUACCAUCUCCCCUACAAUCCUCUACAGUUUUUCUUUGAGCCACUUCUUUGCUUCUUCAGUGCUGUUUACCUUCAUGUGGAUCUUAACCAUAAUUUCGUGGAUACUACUAGAGAGACUUCAAGGCAAUAAAAAGAAAGAUCAGUAUUAACCUGUUGUAACAGAGGUUUGAUCAUGCUUAUUUGUAUAGGAUUUUUUUUUCAUUUUAAAAAGGAAUGUAACAAAAAUGAAUUUUAAAUAGAAUUAAAUUAUAUUAAAAUUCAGUAGGUUAAUUGUUGAUAACUAGAAUGGAAAAUGCCGGUAUCUGACUUCAUAUUAGAAAGUACUAUAUUUAGGAGGAGUUUGUUAAACUUAAGAGUACUCUAAAUCACAUUCAAAUAAUUUGACUUAUAGGCAGAAUACUCAGUGUAUAUCUUCAUACACAUGUGAACCAUAAACAGAAAAUGAUCACAUAAUCAGAUGAUACUCUAAUUGAAUUCUGUUAUUUGAUGGUUCCAGUACAUUGUUUGGUCAAGUAAAAAAAAAAAAAAAAUCAAGAAAGGAGGAAGCAUGUGCUUAGUUGCAUUUACCAGAAAUGUUUUCAUGUCAAGAACAUCUCUAUAUGACAGAUACACUUGGAGAGAGAAAGAGAGAGAGAGAGAGAGAGAGAGUGUGUGUGUGUGUGUGUGUGUUUUUGUACACACAGAUGUGUACAAGUAACUUUUUUUUUCCCCUUUGACAAUAAAGGGAAAGAACCAUAGGGUUUGUGGUAUUGGAAAGGGAGGGAAUAGGGGAAAUUAAUUUAAUGUAACUUGUACUUACACAUUCAUAGCAAGUCAUCCACAUGCCAAGUAAAAGGUCAUUCCAUCACUAGUUUAUUCAUACUUUGAUAAACUAUUUUUAUAAAAUCACAUUGUUUUAACUUUAGAUUCACCAACCUUGUUAUGAUUUGGAAGUUCACAUAUUAGAAUGAAAACAACAGUAAAACCUAGCUAUUUUUCCUCUAUUCCUUCAUUAAAUAGAGGUAAGAGAAAAGUUAAGUCUUCCUAAAAGAGCCAAGUGAGACUUUUACAAGUAUUUAUGUUUAAGUUUUAAUUAAGUUUAUUUUUGUAUUUGUAAUACCUUUUGUAUAAACUUCAUUAUUGUUUGGAGAGGUAGAAAUGUAUCUGUCAAUAUGUGUAACUAUAAUCAUGUCAAAGUUUGAAUUGUUUGUAUAGCUUUGUAGCUUGUCACAUUUGUACUUUUUUAAUACUGUAUUUUUUUAAAAUUAUUUUCUGGAUCGUUUCUUCAUCUUGCACAUGAUGGAAGUUGGACUAUAUACAUGCACACAUACUAUGGACGAUUCCAUUUUAUUUUUUUCCCCAUUUAAAAAAAAUUUUUUUGAUAUUCACAAGCUGCUUAGUCAUUUCUGCUGGCUUUUCCUUCACCCAACUUUGAAAUCUUUGUGUGCAUGCUAUCUGCUCAAGAAACAGCUUUGGAACAUUUGAGUCUUUGGGGAAAAAAAUCCAGAGACAUGCUUUCAUCCAGCACUCCAUCAGACUUUGAGAAGGCAUCGUGUGAAAUCACUGACUUUCCAAAUCAACUCCCCUACUCUUCCCAGUGAAAAAAAAAAAAAAAGGAAAAAAAAAGGGUAAACAAAGAGUUGUUUUACUCACUUAAGAGUAAAAUCCCAGUUUUGGGCUAUGGGAGGGCUUAGGGAGACUGUAAAAUCAAAUCUCGUGUUACAUUAUUUUUUUCCUGGCUCACUCUUUUUGAGAAGGUUUAUGGGCUAUGUGGCUGGUGAGACACGAUCCCCUCCUCCCUAAGGAAAUGUAGGUGCUCAGACAGCCUUUUCCGGAGCCAAAAAAAAAAAAAAACCCAGAGAAAAAAAUUUCCUCCUUCCCCCUUCCUGAUGAUGAGUGAGAAGUUUUGAGAACUUUCGGGGUCAAUGCCUUUUUAAACUUCCCUUCCCCCAAUAAUGCAGCUCGUAUAAUGGUAAAUGCAGCAGCCUGGAUCCAUGCAGAGCCCCAGCCUGCUAGCAGCAGAGUAAUAAACUGGUAGGUGGCUGCAGUGGAAGAAGGACUUCUUCAGACUGGUGACCUGAAAAUUCCGCAGAGGGGGAAGUGGAACAUGAAAUAGAUGAUGGAAACAAAGGGGAAAGAGGAUGGAAGAAUGAUUAAGGCUCCUGGGAUUGACACACUGGGUGUUUUCUUUCAGGUUUUUUGAAAUAGAAAGUGAUCAUCCUCCCUUGUUUACUCUGGUCAUUUUGGAAGAAAGAUUUAUUUGACCAGAUGAACUUCAGAUGGGACAAAACACAGAAGAAGCAACUGCCUCAACUAAUUUGACUGAAGUCAUAUUUUCAUAAUAAAAUGCUGUAAUAU